UGGGGAUUCGUCUAGCGGUAGGACGACAGACUCUGAAUCUGUAAGCAUAGGUUCGAUUCCUAUAUCCCCAGCCA
rnacentral:tRNA from 1 species